AAUUGGAAAACCUGGAUGAAAUGGACAAAUUUCUAGACAGAUACCAGGUAAUGUAAGACCCCCGAAGGGAGACCCUCACUCAAGCCUCGGGAUGUGGCGCGGACCCAAGAGAGACGAGGAGACUG
rnacentral:pre_miRNA from 7 species